rnacentral:rRNA from 1 species
GCGGCGGACGGGUGAGUAAUGCAUAGGAAUCUGCCCGGUAGUGGGGGAUAACCUGGGGAAACUCAGGCUAAUACCGCAUACGCCCUACGGGGGAAAGCAGGGGCUCUUCGGACCUUGCGCUAUCGGAUGAGCCUAUGUCGGAUUAGCUAGUUGGUGAGGUAAUGGCUCACCAAGGCGACGAUCCGUAGCUGGUCUGAGAGGAUGAUCAGCCACAUCGGGACUGAGACACGGCCCGAACUCCUACGGGAGGCAGCAGUGGGGAAUAUUGGACAAUGGGCGAAAGCCUGAUCCAGCCAUGCCGCGUGUGUGAAGAAGGCUUUCGGGUUGUAAAGCACUUUCAGUGAGGAAGAACGCCUUGGGGCUAAUACCUCCGAGGGAAGACAUCACUCACAGAAGAAGCACCGGCUAACUCCGUGCCAGCAGCCGCGGUAAUACGGAGGGUGCAAGCGUUAAUCGGAAUUACUGGGCGUAAAGCGCGCGUAGGCGGCGUGAUAAGCCGGUUGUGAAAGCCCCGGGCUCAACCUGGGAACGGCAUCCGGAACUGUCAGGCUAGAGUGCAGGAGAGGAAGGUAGAAUUCCCGGUGUAGCGGUGAAAUGCGUAGAGAUCGGGAGGAAUACCAGUGGCGAAGGCGGCCUUCUGGACUGACACUGACGCUGAGGUGCGAAAGCGUGGGUAGCAAACAGGAUUAGAUACCCUGGUAGUCCACGCCGUAAACGAUGUCGACUAGCCGUUGGGGUCCUAGAGACCUUUGUGGCGCAGUUAACGCGAUAAGUCGACCGCCUGGGGAGUACGGCCGCAAGGUUAAAACUCAAAUGAAUUGACGGGGGCCCGCACAAGCGGUGGAGCAUGUGGUUUAAUUCGAUGCAACGCGAAGAACCUUACCUACCCUUGACAUCGUGCGAACUUGGUAGAGAUACCUUGGUGCCUUCGGGAACGCACAGACAGGUGCUGCAUGGCUGUCGUCAGCUCGUGUUGUGAAAUGUUGGGUUAAGUCCCGUAACGAGCGCAACCCUUGUCCCUAUUUGCCAGCGAUUCGGUCGGGAACUCUAGGGAGACUGCCGGUGACAAACCGGAGGAAGGUGGGGACGACGUCAAGUCAUCAUGGCCCUUACGGGUAGGGCUACACACGUGCUACAAUGGCCGGUACAAAGGGUUGCGAAUCCGCGAGGUGGAGCUAAUCCCGAAAAGCCGGUCUCAGUCCGGAUCGGAGUCUGCAACUCGACUCCGUGAAGUCGGAAUCGCUAGUAAUCGUGCAUCAGAAUGGCACGGUGAAUACGUUCCCGGGCCUUGUACACACCGCCCGUCACACCAUGGGAG